rnacentral:rRNA from 1 species
UACGGGGGGUGCAAGCGUUGUUCGGAAUUACUGGGCGUAAAGGGCGCGUAGGCGGGUGGACAAGUCUCUCGUGAAAGCCCACGGCUCAACCGUGGAAUUGCGGGAGAUACUGUCUGUCUUGAGUCCGGGAGAGGAGGGUGGAAUUCCCAGUGUAGCGGUGAAAUGCGUAGAUAUUGGGAGGAACACCGGUGGCGAAAGCGGCCCUCUGGUCUUCAACUGACGCUGAGGCGCGAAAGCUAGGGGAGCAAACGGG